GACGAACCGUGCGAACGUUGUUCGGAAUCACUGGGCUUAAAGGGCGCGUAGGCGGGCUUGCAAGUCUGCGGUGAAAGCCUCCAGCUCAACUGGAGAAGUGCCGUGGAUACUGCGGGCCUCGAGGAGGGUAGGGGCAUCUGGAACGUUGGGUGGAGCGGUGAAAUGCGUUGAUAACCAACGGAACUCCGGUGGCGAAGGCGAGGUGCUGGACCCUUUCUGACGCUGAGGCGCGAAAGCCAGGGGAGCGAACGGG
rnacentral:rRNA from 1 species